rnacentral:misc_RNA from 1 species
GAUGAAGAACGCAGCGAAAUGCGAUAAGUAAUGUGAAUUGCAGAAUUCAGUGAAUCAUCGAAUCUUUGAACGCACAUUGCGCCCGCCAGCAUUCUGGCGGGCAUGCCUGUUCGAGCGUCAUUUCAACCCUCGAGCCCCCCCGGGGGCCUCGGUGUUGGGGGACGGCACACCAGCCGCCCCCGAAAUGCAGUGGCGGCCCCGCCGCAGCCUCCCCUGCGUAGUAGCACACACCUCGCACCGGAGCGCGGAGGCGGUCACGCCGUAAAACGCCCAACUUUCUUAGAGUUGACCUCGGAUCAGGUAGGAAUACCCGCUGAACUUAAGCAUAUCAAUAAGCGGAGGA